AGUGGCGCACGGGUGAGUAACGCGUGGGGACCUACCUCUUAGUGGGGGAUAACGGUUGGAAACGACCGCUAAUACCGCAUACGCCCUUCGGGGGAAAGAUUUAUCGCUAAGAGAUGGACCCGCGUUGGAUUAGAUAGGUGGGGAGGUAACGGCUCACCAAGUCAGCGAUCCAUAGGUGGUUUGAGAGGAUGAUCAUCCACACUGGAACUGAGACACGGCCCAUACUCCUACGGGAGGAAGCAGUGGGGAAUAUUGGACAAUGGGGGCAACCCUGAUCCAGCCAUGCCGCGUGAGUGAAGAAGGCCUUCGGGUUGUAAAGCUCUUUCUGAUGCGAAGAUGAUGACGGUAACAUCAGAAGAAGCCCCGGCUAAUUUCGUGCCAACAGCCGCGGUAAUACAAAAGGGGCUAGCGUUGUUCGGAUUUACUGGGCGUAAAGGGCACGCGG
rnacentral:rRNA from 1 species